UAAUGCUAGGGAGGGGAAACAAAAGACACAAAAAUGUUAAUUAUACUUCCAAAUUAAUAUAUUUUCUCCUCAGCGGGACACAGCCCUAAAUUUAAGAUAGCCUGAGUAUCUAGGGUUUCUGAAAUAUUUACUAAGACAUUUUGCAAAAUCAAAUGGCCUUAUGUAAGGACUGGAGCAUUGAUCUUGAGAAGACAUUUUUGUAUCUGAAACUGGAGGAAAAACAAAAUAUAAAUUUUAUUGUUUUUUGUUUUAGUUUGUAUUGCAAGCAAUUACCAAUUCUAUUUCCCAAGAAGCAUAUGCUCAGAAGCAGCAGGAGGGGCAGACAGUCCAUGCUCUUGCUAGUAAGGAGAUACUUAGCCAAGAAAUCUAUCAGUCAAUAUGACUCACUGCCCUGUUUCUUUAUAAAACAGUACUGGAAACCAACAGACACUGUUCUUAUUAUACACUCAGGCACCACUGAAAGUUAGAAUUUUUAUUUAAAUUUUAAAGCCAUAAUGAUAAUGGGUAUGAUUACUCUAAGUUUUCCAAGGAAAUUUAUCUUUCUCUUGGCUACACAUUAUACUUUUAAAUACAGUCAUGCGUCGCUUAAUGACACGGAUGUGUUUUGAGAAAUGCAUCAUUAGGCGGUUUUGUGGCUGUGCAAACAUCACAGUGUGCUUGCACAAACCUAGACAGUAGAGCCUGCUACACACCUAGGCUGUGUGGUCUGGCCUACUGCUCCCAGGCUACAAACCUGUACAGCAUGUUACUGUGCUGAAUGCCGUAGGCAACUGUAACACAAUGCUAAGUAUGUGUAUAUCUCAACAUAGAAAAGGUACAGUAAAAAUAUGGUAUAAAAGAUAAAAAAAUGAUACACCUGUAUAGGGCACUUACCAUGAAUGGAGCCUGCAGUACUGGAAGUUGCUCUGGGUGAGCCAGUGAGUGAAUGGUGAGUGAAUGUGAGGCUUAGGACAUUAUUGUACACUACUGUAGACUUUAUAAACACUGUACACUAUGGCCACACUAAAUGUGUUAAAAAUAUUUUUCUUUCUUCAAUAAUAAAUUAACAUUAGCUAACUAAUUUUACUUUAUAAACUGAUUUUUUAAAACUUUGACUCUUGUAACACUUAAUUUAAAACACAAGUACAUUGUACAGCUGAACAAAAAUAUUUCCUUCUUUAUAUCCUUAUUCUGUAAGUCUCUAUUUUUAACAUUUUAAAAUAUUUUUUACUUUUUAACUUUUUUGUUAAAAAUGACACACACAACACAUUAGCCUAGGCCUACACAGGGAGGUCAGGGUCAUCGAUGUCACUGUCUUCCAUCUGCACAGCUUGUCCCACUGCAUGGUCUUCAGGGAAAAUAGCAUGCAUGGAGCUGUCAUUUGCUAUGACAACAAUCUUCUGGAACACCCACUGAAGGACCUGCCUGAGGCUCUUCUUAAGGAGGUGUCACUCUUUUCAGAAAUAUGUCCAUGGUGUUUGGCUUGGUUUCUUUUUUAUCAUAGGUUUGCUUGUAAGUAGAUAAUGUACCAUAAACAUUCCUCUCUAUUAAUGAAAACCUUUCAUUGUUAGGGCCCAUGUUUUUUUUGUUUGUUUUGUUUUUGAGAUGGAGUCUCGCUCUGCCACCCAGGUUGGAGUAGAGUGGUGCACGCAAUCUCGGCUCACUGCAACCUCCGCCUCCCAGGUUCAAGUGAUUCUUCUGCCUCAGCCUCCCGAGUAGCUGGGAUUACAGGCGUGUAGCACCACGCCCAGCUAAUUUUUGUAUUUUUAGUAGAGACGGGGUUUCACCAUGUUGGUCAGGCUGGUCUCGAACUCCUGACCUCAUGAUCUACCCGCUUUGGCCUCCCAAAGUGCUGGGAUUAUAGGUGUAAGCCACAGCGCCCAGCCAGGGCCCAUGUUUUUAAAUUUUUUAAGGAGCUUGUUGAGGUCUGCAAAAGCUUCUGCUAAACCUUUCACUGUGAAUUUUCUUGGAGGUUCUUCCUUUUUGUCUCCUGCAGUUUCCUUUUCUCUUGCACCUUCUUCAGCUGCGUGUUCCUGUUCCAGUUCCAACAGCUCAUUAGUCAAUUCCUCAGGAACCACAUCUAGGAGCUUCUCAAUGUCAUCCUCAUCUACAUCUAGGUUAAAGUUGUUUGCCAUGUCAACCACAGCCUUGUCCAUUUCUGCAACCUCUUCAUCCUUAGCAGAUUCUUUGAAGUCAUGAACAAACUUCUUCAGUGUCUUCUAGAUGUCAUUCACAUACUCCUUGGUGACAUCAGUCCAUGCCCAAGCAAGGUUCUUGAUGCAGUCAUAGCUGUUGUAAACCUUCCAGAAUUGCAUCAGUGUCCUCUCGGUGUUUUUCAGUUGCAGCAAUAGCCUGGGCAAAGAUCCUCCUUAGGAUCUUUUAAUAGGCCUUAAAAACUGCUACAACUCCUUGAUUCAUUGGUUGGAUCAAAGAGGUGGUAUAUGGAAGGAGACACAACACUUUGAUAUUGGGAUGAAGAUCACCAAUGAAAUGAGGAUGUGUGGGAGCAUUAUCAACAAAAAUCAUCAUCUUGAAAAGUAUGUUACUCUCUCAACAGUACUUCUCCAUUUUGCUGGCACAGCAAUUCGGGAGGACAUCCUGGAAGAAAAGCUGGGUCAUCGAUGACUUCUUAUUGCUCCUGUAGUACACGGGCAGUGUGUGCUUGCUGACAUGCUUGAAGGCUCUGGAGUUCUCACUGUGCCAGAUCACAAAGGGUUUCAAUUUGUAGCCUGCAAUAUGGCCCCAAGCAAGACUGUUAUCUUGUCCUUAAAAGCCUUGAAAUCUAGCAUUGACUUGGCUUCUUUAUGGAUGAAAGUCCUUUCAGCCAUUUAUUUCCAGAAUAGGGAGGUUUCAUGCGUAUUGAAAAUUUGUCUGGCAAGUAAUCUUCCUUCAUAAUCAGCUUAUCUAGAGUUUCCAAAAAUUCUUCAGUUGCCUUCACAUCUGCAUUUGCAGACUCUCCACUCACUUUGAUAUUACAUAAUGAAUAAUGAUUCUUCAAUCGUUUAAACCACCCGGAGCUAGCAGUACAUUUAACACUGUAGUUGGGUCCAGUCUUUUCUUUAAGCAUUGCAAACAAACUUUUUGCUUUGGCCAUGAUCAUUAUGGUGCUGAGAGGGAUAUGUUUCUGUGUCUGGUCUUCAAUCCAGGUCACUAACAAGUUUCUCCAUAUCUGAUACAGGCCCUUCUCAAAUUUUUGUUAGUCUUGUUGCCUUGAACAAAGCAGAUCCUUUAACAGCUUCUAUCACUUUGUUCUUGUUCUUUAAGACUGUAGCUAUGGUAGAAUGGGACUGCCUGACUGGUGAGCAAUAACUAUCACUGAUCUUCCACUUUCAUCGUCCUUAAUCACUUAAUUUUUUUCCAUGUCAGUCACUCGAUGUGGCCUCUUACUGGCAACAUUAGCUGUGGAUUUUGUAUGCUUAGGGGCCAUGAUGAACAAAACAAGACAAGAUUUUCAUCAAGCACAAGAGGAAAUGAUGCAAUCAAGAGAUGUGGCAAACUGGGAUGUAUGAGGCUGUCCUGGAAUAACAUGGCACACUGUUUUACAGCAAACUUAAAAAAAAAAAAAGUAGAGGUACACUCUAAAAUAACAAUAAAAAAUAUAGUAAAUGCAUAAACCAGUAACAGAGUUGUUUAUUAUCGUUAUAUUGUACAUAAUUAUACGUGUGAUACUUUUACAUGACUGACAGCAUAGGUUUGUUCACACCAGCAACACCACAAACAUGUGAGUAAUGCCUUGUGCUACAAUGUUACCAUGGCUAUAAUUGAUGUAGGGAUUUUUCAGCUCCAUUAUAAUCUUAUGGAAUGCAUAUAUGGCCUGUCAUUGACCAAAAUGUCAUUAUGUGGCGCAUGACUGUAUUUUUAAUGUACAAUUAAAAUAAUAGUAAAUUUUUCAUAACAUACCUGAUUGUCUCCUGAUAAGAAAGGAAAGAAAUCUAAUCCUGUGGAAGAAAAAAUUAUUUCAGUUUAAAAAAAAAAGAAGGAAAAACUCUUCCAAAUGCCCCAAUACUUCAAAAACAAAUACAAGUCUUAUAUGCUAUGUCACUCAGAAUUUUAUUUAAACAUGAAGAGUUGAGCUAAACGUUUUACGUCUCUCCUUUCUUUAGAUUACUAAGGCUGAAAACUAAGCUUUGGCAAUGAUUUGUCUUCUCCGUGACCCCAUUUGGGGGACUGGGGCCAUUACUACUCUGUCAGAUCUAACACUGAUCCUUAAACGGGCAUAGUACUUUUAACAAAUGCUCUGGACUCCUCUUAAGGAAACUUUCAAUCUGCUCUAAGUUACUCCUCACAAGCACUUCAUGAGAUUCAACUGACAGACUGCAGUGGCAUGAGGGGAGAAGAGGUUUGAGUGCCUGCAAACUGGCUACUAUUACAUAAGAAGGAGUAGUUCUGCUACCUGGCUGCUGAGGAUUCACUGCAAGGAGGCCCCUUCCAAUUAACAUUCUUUUCUAGAUCACCCAGUGUGUAAUGCGAUGAAGAGCAAGUGAACAAGCAUGAAUUAAAUGCUUCAUUAUGAUAUCUAAACUUGGGGAAAGGUAAAACACGCAGCUAUAGAUAAAUAUAUUACAACACCACAGAUACUCUGGGCAUCUACUCACUGUCUACAUUAUAACCGAUUACAACACGAAGGCUUACAAAAUGCAUAGCACUGUUGUUCUUGAUAGUGACAGUGCGUUUCAUACAUGUAGAAAAAAAGGUAUAGAAAGAUAUCUAACCGUUAAGAGCAGCUGUAACUGGCUGGCCGUAGUGGCUCACGCCUGUAAUCCCAGCACUUUGGGAAGCGAAGGCAGGCGAAUCACCUGAGGUCGGGAGUUUGAGACCAGCCUGACCAACAUGGUGAAACCCCGUCUCUACUAAAAAUACAAAAUUAGCCAGGCGUGGUGGCACAUGCCUGUCGCGCCAUUGCACUCCAGCCUGAGCAAUAAGAGCAAAACUCCGACACACACACACACACACACACACACGCAGCCUGAGCAAUAAGAGCAAAACUCCGACACACACACACACACACACACACACACACACACACUAGCUGUAACUUCCCGGGAAUGGGGUUGGGGGAUAGGUAGAGGGAAACUUUCACUUUAUGUUUCUGUGUUGAAUUUUCUACAAUGAGCAUAUAUGGCUUUUUUAAUAAAAAAAAGUUCUUAGAUUAUA